UGUGUAACAUUUGGGAGGAUCUAUUGGCAUAGGAACAUUCAUAGGAACAGAAUGAGUCAUGCUGUUGCUCAUGCCAAUGCUUCCAUGGAGUUUUCCAUGUUGAACCGUCAUGUUUCUACAGUAGCCCAAAAUGGACAAACAAAACACUGGCUGUACAUACAAACUUUCAUGUUGUUCGCCAGUACUGUAGUUUCUCCUACAUGCCCAUUCUCAUUCCCAGGUUGUCAAAUUCAGACACGAGUGGUGUUCAGUUAGUUGCAAUUUGCAACUUCACCACUAGGUACCACUACAUCCUACACACACGUCCAUUAAAACCUAUAAUAAGCUGAGACUCUUGAAGAAAGGGAAGGAAGUUAUCUUUAAAAUGCCAUAUUUCUCUGUAGAUCAAACAAAAAUCUUGUUAUAAAAAAUCAUUAACCAUUGAGAUUUUUAUGUUUACUAUAUAUAAAUAUAUAUUAAGUUGUACUUCUUGUCAGAGAUUUAAACUUAUUCCUGUGUCACACGCUAACCUAAGAGUCAGUUUGAUUUGUUGCCCAAUGUAACCACAAACCACAAAGAUCAAACAUGUUCAACAGUAUCCAAAGAUAAGAUUUUAAAGACUGAAAUCAAACCAGUGUACACUGCUUGCUGUAUCUCUGCUCUUAAAACAUUGAUCACUGUUCUCUGUUGCAAAAGUUAACCAGAAAAUAUCACUUAAUGUAUACAAACAUUGUAUCUACAAUAUAUUGAUGCUGGAAAUGUUCAAUAUCUUUGUGUUAGACAGGCUUCUGGUGCUCCUGCACUAUAUCUAUAUCAUUAAUUAUGAACUGUUAAUAAAGUGAAAUGUGUUGUUA